GGUGAACGCUGGCGGUGGGCCUAACACAUGCAAGUCGAACGGCUGCACCGUCCGAGCUUGCUCUUCCGGGUGGCGAGUGGCGGACGGGUGCGGACUACAUCGGCCUCUACUUUUUCGUGGGGGAUGGCGUAUGGCACCUUACGCUAAUACCGCAUACGACAUACGGGUGAAUGCCGGGGAUCUUCGGACCUUGCGCGAUUGACUGAGCCGAUGUCGGAUUAGCUAGUUGGCGGGGUAAAGGCCCACCAAGGCGACGAUCCGUAGCUGACCUGAGAGGGUGAUCGGCCACACUGGGACUGAGACACGGCCCAGACUCCUACGGGAGGCAGCAGUAGGGAAUCUUCGGCAAUGGACGAAAGUCUGACCGAGCAACGCCGCGUGAGUGAAGAAGGUCUUCGGAUCGUAAAACUCUGUUGUUAGAGAAGAACAAGGACGUUAGUAACUGAACGUCCCCUGACGGUAUCUAAACAGAAAGCCACGGCUAACUACGUG
rnacentral:rRNA from 1 species